rnacentral:tRNA from 1 species
GGGAGCUUAGCUCAGCUGGUCCAGAGCACCUGCCUUACAAGCAGGGGGUCACAAGUUCGAAUCUUGUAGCUCCCACAA